rnacentral:rRNA from 1 species
AGUGAACGCUGGCGGUAGGCCUAACACAUGCAAGUCGAACGGCAGCACAGUAAGAGCUUGCUCUUACGGGUGGCGAGUGGCGGACGGGUGAGGAAUACAUCGGAAUCUACUUUUUCGUGGGGGAUAACGUAGGGAAACUUACGCUAAUACCGCAUACGACCUACGGGUGAAAGCAGGGGAUCUUCGGACCUUGCGCGAUUGAAUGAGCCGAUGUCGGAUUAGCUAGUUGGCGGGGUAAAGGCCCACCAAGGCGACGAUCCGUAGCUGGUCUGAGAGGAUGAUCAGCCACACUGGAACUGAGACACGGCCCAGACCCCUACGGGAGGCAGCAGUGGGGAAUAUUGGACAAGGGGCGCAAGCCUGUCCCAGCCAUACCGGGUGGGUGAAGAAGGCCUUCGGGUUGUAAAGCCCUUUUUUUGGGAAAAAAAAGCAGCGGGUUAAUCCCCCGCUGUUCUGGCGGUCCCCAAAGAAUAAGCACCGGCUAACUGCGU